ensembl:lncRNA
AAAAAAACACUCACACCAGAACACUUGCGCAAUAAUAACGCUGACGACGCGGCGCGAGACGACAACCGCGGAUGGGGGGGGCGCGAGACACACGUCCUCUGCAGGUGGUCGUGGCCGGACUGCCGUGAGGAACGGAGCGAGACGCAACAUCAUUUUGUCUGGCUCGGGUGAAAAUUCGUUAUUUGGAGAUGGCGUUGUGGUAAAAAGAACAUCUCAGCUGAGGAGCCGCUGGUCUCAGCGACCAACAGGCCCCAGGUCAGUCCUUUGACCAUCCCUAGUGCCCGUCUGUCGCCUCCACCAGCGAACUCGAGAACAAUCGUUGCUACAGGUAUUUAUACCAAUGCUUAAAGGUGUGAAAGUCAGUGUCCACACCUCUGGGAGUGGUCUUCUGGUGAGUUCAAUGUAGCUCGGAUUUCGG